GCCGCGGCGGAGGCGAGCGGGAGGCGGGACGGGGCGGGGAGAGCGGCGGGGCCGGCGGGAGGACGCGCGGCGCGCCCGGCGGACGCCGCAGGUCCCAUGCCGCGCCGCGACCCCCGCGCCCCUGCCGCCCGCGCCCGCGGCCGCCCCCCGCCGCCCGCCGCCCCGGGCUCGCCGCGCCGCGCCCGCGCGUCCUUAGCGGGGCCACCGAGCGAUGCCCGCCGGGCGCCCGCGAAAGUUUGUCGGCUCCUGCUGAAGGGCAGCGGCGCCCCCGCACCCCCGUGCCCCGCUCCGGCCAGGAGCCUUCACGUAAAUGGGUCCAGUCAUGCCUCCCAGUAAGAAGCCAGAAAGCUCAGGAAUUAGUGUCUCCAGUGGACUGAGUCAGUGUUACGGGGGCAGCGGUUUCUCCAAGGCCCUUCAGGAAGACGAUGACCUCGACUUUUCUCUGCCUGACAUCCGAUUAGAAGAGGGGGCCAUGGAAGAUGAAGAGCUGACCAACCUGAACUGGCUGCACGAGAGCAAGAACUUGCUGAAGAGCUUUGGGGAGUCGGUCCUCAGGAGUGUCAGCCCCGUCCAGGACCUGGACGAUGACACCCCCCCAUCCCCUGCCCACUCUGACAUGCCCUACGAUGCCAGGCAGAACCCCAACUGC
rnacentral:lncRNA from 1 species